rnacentral:rRNA from 1 species
UACGGAGGAUCCAAGCGUUAUCCGGAUUUAUUGGGUUUAAAGGGUGCGUAGGCGGCCUGUUAAGUCAGGGGUGAAAGACGGUAGCUCAACUAUCGCAGUGCCCUUGAUACUGAUGGGCUUGAAUGGACUAGAGGUAGGCGGAAUGUGACAAGUAGCGGUGAAAUGCAUAGAUAUGUCACAGAACACCGAUUGCGAAGGCAGCUUACUAUGGUCCUAUUGACGCUGAGGCACGAAAGCGUGGGGAGUCAAACAGG